rnacentral:rRNA from 1 species
GGGCCCGCACAAGCGGUGGAGUAUGUGGUUUAAUUCGAUGCAACGCGAAGAACCUUACCAGGGUUUGACAUCCUGCGAAUCUCUUGGAAACGAGAGAGUGCCUUCGGGAACGCAGUGACAGGUGGUGCAUGGCUGUCGUCAGCUCGUGUCGUGAGAUGUUGGGUUAAGUCCCGCAACGAGCGCAACCCACGUCUUUAGUUGCCAGCAUUUAGUUGGGCACUCUAGAGAGACCGCCGGUGAUAAACCGGAGGAAGGUGUGGAUGACGUCAAGUCAUCAUGCCCCUUACAUCCUGGGCUACACACGUACUACAAUGGCAAGUACAACGAGUCGCAAUACCGCGAGGUGGAGCAAAUCUCUUAAAGCUUGUCUCAGUUCGGAUAGGAGUCUGCAACUCGACUCCUUGAAGUUGGAGUCGCUAGUAA